UUCUCUGCAGUUUCCAAGACAGGGUCUCACUAUGUUGCCCAGGCUGGUCUUGAACUCCUGGCUUCAAGCAGUCCUCCCACCUUGGCCUCCCAAAGUGCUGGGAUUACAGUUACGAAAGAUGAGUAUUUAGUACUCCAUUUGUGCUGUUUUCCUUUUGUGGUAUCAUUCAGCCUUGUGGCUUCAAACAUUGUACUGAAGAUUCUCAGACUUAUUACUACAUGGCAGGGAGGUUUAAUAGACAUGGAUAAGAAGUCCACUCACAGAAAUCCUGAAGAUGCCAGGGCUGGCAAAUAUGAAGGUAAACACAAACGAAAGAAAAGAAGAAAGCAAAACCAAAACCAGCACCGAUCCCGACAUAGAUCAGUGACGUCUUUUUCUUCAGAUGAUCCUAUGUUUCCUUCUUCCUCAUCAUCGUCUUCAGGAAGCCAGACAGAUUCAAGUAUUGAAGAUGCUGCCAAGGGAAAAAUUAAGAAGAAGAGAAGAGAGAAAACAAAUAAAUGGGAAAAAAGAAAGGCUGCACAAGAAUGGCGCCAGUAUCUGCUUCUGGCAAGAGACUGAGGCUGCUUCCACUCAUGGCAGAAGGUGAAGGGGCGCCUGCAACUGCAGAUCUCAUGGUGAGAGAGAAGGCAAGAGAGAGAGGAAGAGGACAAAAUAUGAAACACCAAGAAAAAGAGAAGGAAAAAAAGGAGGAAACAACCACAUAUGUCACCUUUCCAAGAGGGACUGAAACUGGGCUGACCCUUUUGAUUUCCAAGCUCAGCGUUUUGGUGUAAGGCGGCCAAAGAAGGAUGCGGAGCCCAGCACUGUGAAGCCUACAAAAACAUUGAUGCGCUGGCUUGGGGAUUUGAAUUUGAACAUCUUUCACACUAAGUUCAGACUCAUGAAACCAAUCUUCAGAUGCUCUGUAAACCACAUAAUAAAGAGUUUGGAAA
ensembl:lncRNA LINC00467 long intergenic non-protein coding RNA 467